CAUAAAAAUUCCACCACCUCUUUUUAACCCCUAAACCGUACUGAAUGAUCCCAUAACACUAUGGGGGCCUAUAUGUUAGAACUAGUAACAAGAAGAUAGUUCUUCUCCAAAAUGUAAGCAUGAGCCAAAAUGAACCACUCAUUGGCACUUAAAGUUAGUAAACCCCUAGUAGUAACUUAACAAGAAAAACCUACUUAUUACAACGUCAACCUUACACCAGCACAUUUCUGGAAAGAUUAAAAAAAUGGGAAGGAACUCGGCAAACUAUUAACCCCGCCUGUUUACCAAAAACAUCGCCUCUUGUCCCCUAUAAGAGGUCCAGCCUGCCCAGUGACAAAGUUAAACGGCCGCGGUACCCUAACCGUGCAAAGGUAGCGCAAUCACUUGUUCUUUAAAUGAGGACUAGUAUGAAUGGCAUCACGAGGGUUAUGCUGUCUCCCCAAUUUACUCAGUGAAACUGAUCUCCCCGUGAAGAAGCGGGGAUAAAAAUAUAAGACGAGAAGACCCCAUGGAGCUUUAAACUCAGUAUCAAUUGCACCACAAAAUAGCCUAACAUUUAUGCAACCCUGUCUACUAGUUUUCGGUUGGGGUGACCACGGAGUAUAAACAAACCUCCACGAUGAAAGGAACUAACAACCUAAACCAAGAGCUACAGCUCUAAAUAUCAACAAAUUGACUAAAUUGAUCCAAUCACUUGAUCAACGAACCAAGUUACCCUGGGGAUAACAGCGCAAUCCAUUUCAAGAGCUCAUAUCGACAAAUGGGUUUACGACCUCGAUGUUGGAUCAGGGUAUCCAAGUGGCGCAGCCGCUACUAACGGUUCG
rnacentral:rRNA from 1 species